GGUUAAGCGACUAAGCGUACACGGUGGAUGCCCUGGCAGUCAGAGGCGAUGAAGGACGUGCUAAUCUGCGAAAAGCGCCGGCGAGGUGAUAUGAACCCUUGACCCGGCGAUGUCCGAAUGGGGAAACCCAGUGUGAUUCGUCACACUAUCGUUAACUGAAUACAUAGGUUAACGAGGCGAACCGGGGGAACUGAAACAUCUAAGUACCCCGAGGAAAAGAAAUCAACCGAGAUUCCCCCAGUAGCGGCGAGCGAACGGGGAGCAGCCCAGAGUCUGAAUCAGCUUGUGUGUUAGUGGAAGCGUCUGGAAAGUCGCACGGUACAGGGUGAUAGUCCCGUACACGAAAGCACACAGGCUGUGAACUCGAAGAGUAGGGCGGGACACGUGGUAUCCUGUCUGAAUAUGGGGGGACCAUCCUCCAAGGCUAAAUACUCCUGACUGACCGAUAGUGAACCAGUACCGUGAGGGAAAGGCGAAAAGAACCCCGGCGAGGGGAGUGAAAAAGAACCUGAAACCGUGUACGUACAAGCAGUGGGAGCACCUUCGGGUGUGACUGCGUACCUUUUGUAUAAUGGGUCAGCGACUUAUAUUCUGUAGCAAGGUUAACCGUAUAGGGGAGCCGAAGGGAAACCGAGUCUUAACUGGGCGUUAAGUUGCAGGGUAUAGACCCGAAACCCGGUGAUCUAGCCAUGGGCAGGUUGAAGGUUGGGUAACACUAACUGGAGGACCGAACCGACUAAUGUUGAAAAAUUAGCGGAUGACCUGUGGCUGGGGGUGAAAGGCCAAUCAAACCGGGAGAUAGCUGGUUCUCCCCGAAAGCUAUUUAGGUAGCGCCUCGUGAACUCAUCUUCGGGGGUAGAGCACUGUUUCGGCUAGGGGGCCAUCCCGGCUUACCAACCCGAUGCAAACUACGAAUACCGAAGAAUGUUAUCACGGGAGACACACGGCGGGUGCUAACGUCCGUCGUGAAGAGGGAAACAACCCAGACCGCCAGCUAAGGUCCCAAAGUCAUGGUUAAGUGGGAAACGAUGUGGGAAGGCCCAGACAGCCAGGAUGUUGGCUUAGAAGCAGCCAUCAUUUAAAGAAAGCGUAAUAGCUCACUGGUCGAGUCGGCCUGCGCGGAAGAUGUAACGGGGCUAAACCAUGCACCGAAGCUGCGGCAGCGACACUCUGUGUUGUUGGGUAGGGGAGCGUUCUGUAAGCCGUUGAAGGUGGCCUGUGAGGGUUGCUGGAGGUAUCAGAAGUGCGAAUGCUGACAUAAGUAACGAUAAAGCGGGUGAAAAGCCCGCUCGCCGGAAGACCAAGGGUUCCUGUCCAACGUUAAUCGGGGCAGGGUGAGUCGACCCCUAAGGCGAGGCCGAAAGGCGUAGUCGAUGGGAAACAGGUUAAUAUUCCUGUACUUGGUGUUACUGCGAAGGGGGGACGGAGAAGGCUAUGUUAGCCGGGCGACGGUUGUCCCGGUUUAAGCAUGUAGGCGGAGGUUCCAGGUAAAUCCGGUACCUUUUAACGCUGAGGUGUGAUGACGAGGCACUACGGUGCUGAAGUAACAAAUGCCCUGCUUCCAGGAAAAGCCUCUAAGCAUCAGGUAACAUCAAAUCGUACCCCAAACCGACACAGGUGGUCAGGUAGAGAAUACCAAGGCGCUUGAGAGAACUCGGGUGAAGGAACUAGGCAAAAUGGUGCCGUAACUUCGGGAGAAGGCACGCUGAUAUGUAGGUGAAGCCCCUGCGGGUGGAGCUGAAAUCAGUCGAAGAUACCAGCUGGCUGCAACUGUUUAUUAAAAACACAGCACUGUGCAAACACGAAAGUGGACGUAUACGGUGUGACGCCUGCCCGGUGCCGGAAGGUUAAUUGAUGGGGUUAGCGGCAACGCGAAGCUCUUGAUCGAAGCCCCGGUAAACGGCGGCCGUAACUAUAACGGUCCUAAGGUAGCGAAAUUCCUUGUCGGGUAAGUUCCGACCUGCACGAAUGGCGUAAUGAUGGCCAGGCUGUCUCCACCCGAGACUCAGUGAAAUUGAACUCGCUGUGAAGAUGCAGUGUACCCGCGGCAAGACGGAAAGACCCCGUGAACCUUUACUAUAGCUUGACACUGAACACUGGUCCUUGAUGUGUAGGAUAGGUGGGAGGCUUUGAAGCGUGGACGCCAGUCUGCGUGGAGCCAUCCUUGAAAUACCACCCUUUAAUGGCUGGUGUUCUAACGUAGACCCGUAAUCCGGGUUGCGGACAGUGUCUGGUGGGUAGUUUGACUGGGGCGGUCUCCUCCCAAAGAGUAACGGAGGAGCACGAAGGUUAGCUAAUCCUGGUCGGACAUCAGGAGGUUAGUGCAAUGGCAUAAGCUAGCUUGACUGCGAGAGUGACGGCUCGAGCAGGUGCGAAAGCAGGUCAUAGUGAUCCGGUGGUUCUGAAUGGAAGGGCCAUCGCUCAACGGAUAAAAGGUACUCCGGGGAUAACAGGCUGAUACCGCCCAAGAGUUCAUAUCGACGGCGGUGUUUGGCACCUCGAUGUCGGCUCAUCACAUCCUGGGGCUGAAGUAGGUCCCAAGGGUAUGGCUGUUCGCCAUUUAAAGUGGUACGCGAGCUGGGUUUAGAACGUCGUGAGACAGUUCGGUCCCUAUCUGCCGUGGGCGCUGGAGAAUUGAGGGGGGCUGCUCCUAGUACGAGAGGACCGGAGUGGACGCAUCACUGGUGUUCGGGUUGUCAUGCCAAUGGCACUGCCCGGUAGCUAAAUGCGGAAGAGAUAAGUGCUGAAAGCAUCUAAGCACGAAACUUGCCCCGAGAUGAGUUCUCCCUGAGACUUUAAGUCUCCUGAAGGAACGUUGAAGACGACGACGUUGAUAGGUCGGGUGUGUAAGCGCAGCGAUGCGUUGAGCUAACCGAUACUAAUGAACCGUGAGGCUUAACCUU
rnacentral:rRNA from 1 species